AUAUGUUCUCAGCAACUGCAUGAAAAGAAGCUUCUUUCCCAUUCCAUCUAUCAGAAGCCCCCGGUACCAGGCUCUAAAAUGACCAACCUGGGUCAAGUGUUCAUUCUUGUACUCUUCUCUAUGGCCAGAGGUUCACAGGUGCUGUGAUGUCUUUCACAGGCAAUGGAUAAAGCAUCCUGCAUUGUCCUAGGCACACUCUGUAGGGAAGAUAUGGGAAUCUGAAGUCAACUUUGCCAAAAUUGGUAAAAGAGAUCAUUUAAAUGGCUUCCAGAGUUCUGGAUGAACAGUUUCUUCAAGAAGGAAUUUGGAAAAGGAGGAAGAGAGAGAACCCUCUCUCCAAAUGCACAUACUGAAGAAAGACCAUGUGAAUAUACAACAAGAAGGGGAUUGUCUACAAGCCAGGAAGAAAGCACUCACCAAAACCUGACCUUGCUGGUACCCUGAUUCCAGAUUUCCAGACUUUGGAACUAUGAGAAAUAAAUUGGUUGUUUUAACCACGUAGUCUACAGUAUUUU
rnacentral:lncRNA from 1 species